rnacentral:rRNA from 1 species
GUCAAUAACCAUAUCACCCUGAACACGCCCGAUCUUGAGAAGCUACGCAGGAUCCAGCCUGGUUAGUACUUGGAUGGGAGACCGCCUGGGAAUACCAGGUGUUGUAGGCU